UACGUGAGGGUGCAAGCGUUGUCCGGAAUUAUUGGGCGUAAAGAGCUCGUAGGCGGUUUGUCGCGUCUUCCGUGAAAACUGGGGGCUUAACUUCCAGCUUGCGGUGGAUACGGGCUGACUGGAGUGCGGCAGGGGAGACUGGAAUUCCUGGUGUAGCGGUGAAAUGCGCAGAUAUCAGGAGGAACACCGGUGGCGAAGGCGGGUCUCUGGGCCGUUACUGACGCUGAGGAGCGAAAGCGUGGGGAGCGAACAGG
rnacentral:rRNA from 1 species